rnacentral:rRNA from 1 species
ACCGGCGCACGGGUGAGUAACACGUAUGGAACCUGCCCGUAACAGGGGGAUAAGCGGAAGAAAUUCCGUCUAAUACCGCGUAAUAACUCCGAGAGGCAUCUCCUGGGGUUUAAAGGGUAACACCGGCUACGGAUAGCCAUGCGGCGCAUUAGCUAGUUGGCGGGGUAACGGCCCACCUAACCGACGAUGCGUAGGGGUUCUGAGAGGAAGGUCCCCCACACUGGUACUGAGACACGGACCAGACUCCUACGGGAGGCAGCAGUGAGGAAUAUUGGUCAAUGGUCGGGAGACUGAACCAGCCAAGCCGCGUGAGGGAUGAAGGUACAGAGUAUCGUAAACCUCUUUUGUCAGGGAACAAAGGCGGGGACGUGUCCCCGGAUGAGUGUACCUGAAGAAAAAGCAUCGGCUAACUCCGUGCCAGCAGCCGCGGUAAUACGGAGGAUGCGAGCGUUAUCCGGAUUUAUUGGGUUUAAAGGGUGCGCAGGCGGUCUGUUAAGUCAGCGGUCAAAGCCCGGGGCUCAACCCCGGCCCGCCGUUGAAACUGGCAGUCUCGAGUUGGAGAGAAGUAUGCGGAAUGCGCGGUGUAGCGGUGAAAUGCAUAGAUAUCGCGCAAAACUCCGAUUGCGAAGGCAGCAUGCCGGCUCCACACUGACGCUNANGCACGAAAGCGUGGGUAUCGAACAGGAUUAAAUACCCUGGUA